UAUUGAGAGGAAGACCAACGGCGAAGGCAGCUUACUGGACAUUUACUGACGCUGAGGCUCGAAGGCUAGGGUAGCGAAAGGGAUUAGAUACCCCUGUAGUCCUAGCAGUAAACGAUGUGCGCUUGGUGUGGGCAGGUUCGACCCUGUCUGUGCCGGAGCUAACGCGUUAAGCGCACCGCCUGGGGAGUACGGUCGCAAGACUAAAACUCAAAGAAGUUGACGGGGACCCGCACAAGCGGUGGAGUAUGUGGCUUAAUUCGAUGCAACGCGAAGAACCUUACCUAGGCUUGACAUGUAUUGCUAAUCUGCUGAAAGGCAGUGACCCUUCGGGGACCUUACACAGGUGCUGCAUGGCCGUCGUCAGCUCGUGUCGUGAGAUGUUCGGUUAAGUCCGGCAACGAGCGCAACCCCUGUGAUUAGUUACUAACAUUUAGUUGAGGACUCUAAUCAGACUGCCCAGAUCAACUGGGAGGAAGGUGGGGAUGACGUCAGGUCAGUAUGGCCCUUACGCCUAGGGCUGCACACGUACUACAAUGCCCAGUACAAUGAGAACCGAGACCGCGAGGUGGAGGAAAUCUACAAAACUGGGCUCAGUUCGGAUUGGAGGCUGCAACUCGCCUCCAUGAAGUUGGAAUCGCUAGUAAUGGCACAUCAGCUACGGUGCCGUGAAUACGUUCCCGGGCCUUGUACACACCGCCCA
rnacentral:rRNA from 1 species